GCAAGAGUGGUGGAAUAGGCAGACACGCAAGUUUGAGGGACUUGUGGCAGAAAUGCUGUGUGGGUUCAAAUCCCAUCUCUUGCACCA
rnacentral:tRNA from 1 species